ensembl:lincRNA
UUGGCAGAGAGAAUCUAACACCUAUAUAGAGGAGAUGGAGCAUAAAAUUGGGCGGACUGAUUCAGAGGUUUGUUUUGAUUUUUUAAAUCAUUUAUUAAAAAUAAAAAUGAGUGCGCUGGGUGUGGGGAGGGGGGAUUGGAUGCACUAACUCAAAGGGGCUGUCGGCAGACGACGUACAAAUGAAAGCGGGCUUUCUAAGUUUCCUAAGCACUAAAUGCAGAGAUAUGAGCAGUGAUCAUGGAACCAGACUGGGGAAGGCAGCCUUGGAGUUGAAGAAUCCUGCCAGAGGAAAGCUUAUAUGCCUGCACUGGAACUUCCAGCGACUGCCUAAGGACCGCCCUGGCCCGGAGUCCUGCAUCCUUUCCCACACGUCCGCGGGUCGGAGUCGGAGCUGGGUCCCGCAUCGUGGCUGGCUCUGCGGCCAGGAGGCUCCUGCUCCCACCGCGCUGCCCUGUUCUCUGCGGCUCGCGCCUACAGGCCCCGGGAUUGGCUACACCGCAGCAGUGGUCCAGCUCCGGAGCUGCAGCGCUCAGUACGAUUUCCUCGGAUGCUCUCGCUGAUAUUAAAUCUUUCCUCUUUACCGACGGCCCUUUUGUUUUCGUAACCUAGUCAUCUUUGGGAGGCAACAACAGCCGGUGUCCGUGGAUAACCAGACAAUCCCAUACCCGUCUUUGUAUUCCUGUGCCUUUAAACUCUGCAAAUAUUUUUUUUUUUUGCCCCUUCACGGAAAAGGCGUUCCUUAGUCUCCUUCCAACCACGCCAGCCCCACUUACCUCUCCUGAGCUCUAAGCCUGGCUCAGGUCAAGUGGGAAUCUCUUGUGAUCCCGCAACACUCGGUUUCGGUUUUGGUUUGGAGUGACUGGUUGUUUUGUUGCUGGGGAGGGGAGAGGUUAUUUUCUGUUAACUAUUUUUCUUUUAUUGCGCAGUCCAAGAAAACUCUUUGUUUUAAUGAAAUAUAUUGUCCCCGGCAUCAGGGACUGAGUUCCAAUUCUGGACACUUCACUGUCUCUGCUCUUCCCCCACCCAAGUUAAAUUUCUAUGGUAGGUCCAUGAUCUUUUCCAAAUAGCCCAGACCCUCGCUGCCCUGGGUCCUCCUCGGAUUUACUCCUUUAAUUUGUCUAGUGUGUUAGCUCUGGGUCAGAGCUCCCUUUGUGCUGCUGUCCUGAGACUCUGUAUGUGUGUGUGUGUAUGUGUGUGUGUGUUUUCUUUUGUUAUUUUCUACCCUAACACUGCAAAAAUGAAACACACAUGCAGCUCUGUCGCCUCAUAUUUUCAGAUGUUUUUCACACUAUUGUCUGCUCCAGCCCAUUGAAAGUGCAAAGUGAAAACAGAUGCAUCCGAAUUUUUUUUUUUUGAAAGGGGACAAUCCUAGAAUGGAGACUAACCUCUCAAAUAAAGAUAAGCAAUAAAUAUAAUAUCAGAUUUAUAACGUGCAUCAAGCAGUCUUGAUUAGCACCAAGGUGAGCUUUGGUGAGAUUUUUAUCAUUUCCAUGUGUCUGGACUACAAGAAGAAAUCAAUGGGGGAAGAGCUCUAUAAAUCAGCGUUCAUGUCAUGACAAAUCAAAAUAAUGCCUCUAUUAUUUCAAUCAAUAAACCAUUUUUAUUUCCAACAUCUGAUACACACAGUGUGUGUCCGUCUGUUUGUAUUUGGAAUUGGCAGCUUUGCCUUAUACCAAAACAAACCUUUCAAGUCGUGUCAAUGAAAUUAAAAUUUUAAAAAGGAGAACCCAAUGUGUCCUUCCAUGCCUUCAGAGCCAC